rnacentral:tRNA from 1 species
GGACCCGUAGCUCAGAUGGAUAGAGCGGCCGCCUCCUAAGCGGCAGGCCGUGGGUUCGAAUCCCGCCGGGUCCACCA